rnacentral:lncRNA from 1 species
GAUGGGGCGGGACAGACUCGGUCAGAGCUCGGGAACAGCUCCAGAGCCACUCGUGCCCAGAGUGGAUUCACUGUCACACAUUCCCUGCAAGAACGUUUGUGAGAGGAAAAGCAAAGUGCAAGCCUGAGUUGUUCUCUCUGAGGUCAAGAAUUAGGAAAAAUCUUCCUGGCACACAAAUCCAGAACUCUUGGAGGUCCAAAGGAGCUGCUCCUGCCUCCUUGUUCACACCAGAGAGGGGCUUGGAGUCUGUCCAGUGCUUCCAUGAACUCCAGUUCCAUCCUGCUGCUGCCCACAGGUCUCCAUACUUUAAAUCAUUAUAUCCUGAUUAAAGUAUGCCAGCAACACACCCCUUCAAAAGAAAAAGCUUUUAGUUCAACGUGAGAUAUAUGGCAUUUGGGGAAAAAAGGCUUGACUUGCAUAGUUCUGAUCUCAGUUGCUGAUUCAGUGCUGUUCCUGGGAUAUAUCUUCUUGCUCGUGUCUUGGGCUUAGGUAAGUAGACCAGUACUCUCUAUACCAUUUUGGUUUUUUACCCAUUUGCUUUACAGAAUGGUUUCAGGGAUAUAAUUAGGUAAGCAGUGUGAAAAGUGUAUUCCCAGAUGCUUUUUGGGCAGUUCUUCCUGAGGUAACCACCAACAGCCUCUCUCAGCUUAAUGAUGUCUACUGUUGGCAGUGCUGCUGCCAGCGAGUGAGGUUAAUGUCAGGAAAUAAAAUAAAAUCUGCUUAGUAAACA